rnacentral:rRNA from 1 species
GCUCAGAAACUCAAAGGAAUUGACGGGGACCCGCACAAGCGGUGGAGUAUGUGGCUUAAUUCGAUGCAACGCGAAGAACCUUACCAAGGCUUGACAUGGAUUUCUAAGCACGUGAAAGCGUGUGACCCUUCGGGGAACUUCCACAGGUGCUGCAUGGCCGUCGUCAGCUCGUGUCGUGAGAUGUUGGGUUAAGUCCUGCAACGAGCGCAACCCUUGUGAAUAGUUGCCAGCACGUCAUGGUGGGAACUCUAUUCAGACUGCCCAGAUCAACUGGGAGGAAGGUGGGGACGACGUCAGGUCAGUAUGGCCCUUACGCCUUGGGCUGCACACGUACUACAAUGCCCAGUACAAUGAGAACCGAUGCCGCGAGGUGGAGGAAAUCUGUAAAACUGGGCCCAGUUCGGAUUGGAGGCUGCAACUCGCCUCCAUGAAGUUGGAAUCGCUAGUAAUGGCGCAUCAUCUACGGCGCCGUGAAUACGUUCCCGGGUCUU